CGAGGGUGUAACAUGUCUCCGGACUAACGCUGGCUUCGUUCCUCAUACAUGCAUGUCCAGCGAAUCGACGGGAGCUUGCUCCCUGAGAUUAGCGGCGGACGGGUGAGUAACACGUGGGCAACCUGCCUAUAAGACUGGGAUAACUUCGGGAAACCGGAGCUAAUACCGGAUACGUUCUUUUCUCGCAUGAGAGAAGAUGGAAAGACGGUUUACGCUGUCACUUAUAGAUGGGCCCGCGGCGCAUUAGCUAGUUGGUGAGGUAAUGGCUCACCAAGGCGACGAUGCGUAGCCGACCUGAGAGGGUGAUCGGCCACACUGGGACUGAGACACGGCCCAGACUCCUACGGGAGGCAGCAGUAGGGAAUCUUCCGCAAUGGACGAAAGUCUGACGGAGCAACGCCGCGUGAACGAAGAAGGCCUUCGGGUCGUAAAGUUCUGUUGUUAGGGAAGAACAAGUACCAGAGUAACUGCUGGUACCUUGACGGUACCUAACCAGAAAGCCACGGCUAACUACGUGCCAGCAGCCGCGGUAAUACGUAGGUGGCAAGCGUUGUCCGGAAUUAUUGGGCGUAAAGCGCGCGCAGGUGGUUCCUUAAGUCUGAUGUGAAAGCCCACGGCUCAACCGUGGAGGGUCAUUGGAAACUGGGGGACUUGAGUGCAGAAGAGGAAAGUG
rnacentral:rRNA from 1 species